AAGAGCGUAGUAUAAUGGUAGUAUAGCGGUCUCCAAAACUGUUUGUAGGUGUUCGAUUCGCCUCGCUCUUG
rfam:Coprinopsis cinerea okayama7#130 cont3.68 mitochondrial, whole genome shotgun sequence.